rnacentral:rRNA from 1 species
GACGAACGCUGGCGGCGUGCCUAACACAUGCAAGUCGAACGGGACCAGGGGCAACUCUGGUUCAGUGGCGGACGGGUGCGUAACACGUGAGGAACAUGACCUUCGGCGGGGGAGUAGCCGGCCCAACGGCCGGGUAGUACCGCGUACGACCUUCCGGGGACGAUCCCUCGGAUGGUGGAAAGACAGCAAUGCGCCGAUGGAGUGCCUCGCGGCCUAUCAGCUAGUUGGUGAGGUAACGGCNCACCAA